AGUGAACGCUGGCGGUAGGCCUAACACAUGCCAGUCGAACGGCAGGACAGUAAGAGUUUGCUUUUACGGGUGGCGAGUGGCGGACGGGUGAGGAAUACAUCGGAAUCUACUUUUUCGUGGGGGAUAACGUAGGGAAACUUACGAUAAUACCGCAUACGACCUACGGGUGAAAGCAGGGGAUCUUCGGACCUUGCGCGACUGAAUGAGCCGAUGUCGGAUUAGCUAGUUGGCGGGGUAAAGGCCCACCAAGGCGACGAUCCGUAGCUGGUCUGAGAGGAUGAUCAGCCACACUGGAACUGAGACACGGUCCAGACUCCUACGGGAGGCAGCAGUAGGGAAUAUUGGACAAUGGGCGCAAGCCUGAUCCAGCCAUACCGCGUGGGUGAAGAAGGCCUUCGGAUUGUAAAGCCCUUUUGUUAGGAAAGAAAAACAGCAGGUUAAUACCCCGCUGUUCUGACGGUACCCAAAGAAUAAGCCCCGGCUAACUUCGUG
rnacentral:rRNA from 1 species